GACGAACGCUGGCGGCGUGCCUAAUACAUGCAAGUUGAGCGAUGAAGAUUGGUGCUUGCACCAAUUUGAAGAGCAGCGAACGGGUGAGUAACGCGUGGGGAAUCUGCCUUUGAGCGGGGGACAACAUUUGGAAACGAAUGCUAACACCGCAUAACAACUUUAAACAUAAGUUUUAAGUUUGAAAGAUGCAAUUGCAUCACUCAAAGAUGAUCCCGCGUUGUAUUAGCUAGUUGGUGAGGUAAAGGCUCACCAAGGCGAUGAUACAUAGCCGACCUGAGAGGGUGAUCGGCCACAUUGGGACUGAGACACGGCCCAAACUCCUACGGGAGGCAGCAGUAGGGAAUCUUCGGCAAUGGACGAAAGUCUGACCGAGCAACGCCGCGGGAGUGAAGAAGGUUGUCGGAUCGUAAAACUCUGUUGGUAGAGAAGAACGUUGGUGAGAGUGGAAAGCUCAUCAAGUGACGGUAACUACCCAGAAAGGGACGGCUAACUACGUG
rnacentral:rRNA from 1 species